UACAGGGGGUGCAAACGUUGCUCGGAAUCAUUGGGCGUAAAGCGCACGUAGGCGGUCUGUUAUGUCGGAUGUGAAAGCCCUUGGCUCAACUGAGGAAGUGCAUCCGAAACUGGCAGGCUAGAGUACUAAAGAGGGUCGCGGAAUUCCCGGUGUAGAGGUGAAAUUCGUAGAUAUCGGGAGGAACACCGGUGGCGAAGGCGGCGACCUGGGUAGAUACUGACGCUGAGGUGCGAAAGCAUGGGAGGCA
rnacentral:rRNA from 1 species